rnacentral:rRNA from 1 species
GAUGAACGCUGGCGGCGUGCCUAAUACAUGCAAGUCGAGCGAACAGACGAGGUGCUUGUUCCUCUGGCGUUAGCGGCGGACGGGUGAGUAACACGUGGAGAACCUACCUAUAAGACUGGGAUAACUUCGGGAAACCGGAGCUAAUACCGGAUAAUAUAUUUAACCGCAUGGUUCAAUAGUGAAAGAUGCUUUUGCUUCCCCUUAUAGAUGGAUCCGCGUCGCAUUGCCUAGUUGGUAAGGUAACGGCUAACCAAGGCAACGAUGCGUAGCCGACCUGAGAGGGUGAUCGGCCACACUGGAACUGAGCCACGGUCCAGACUCCGACGGGGGGAGGCAGAAGGGAAUCUUGGGCAAAGGGGGAAGGCUGGACGGGGCAAGGCGGCGUGAUGGAGGAAGGUCUUCGGAUCGUAAACCUCUGUUAUUAGGGAGGAACAAAGGUGUAAGUGACUGCGCACGAAGUGACGGUAACUAAUCAGAAAGCCACGGCUAACUACGUG